rnacentral:rRNA from 1 species
UACGUAGGGGGCAAGCGUUGUCCGGAUUUAUUGGGCGUAAAGAGCGUGUAGGCGGCCAUACAGGUCAGCUGUGAAAACUCGAGGCUCAACCUCGAGACGUCGGUUGAAACCGUAUGGCUAGAGUCCGGAAGAGGAGAGUGGAAUUCCCGGUGUAGCGGUGAAAUGCGCAGAUAUCGGGAGGAACACCAGCGGCGAAGGCGGCACUCUGGGCUGGAACUGACGCUGAGGAGCGAAAGCGUGGGUAGCAAACAGG